AACGCACCUUGCGCUCCUUGGUAUUCCGAGGAGCUUGCCUGUUUGAGUGUCAUGGAAUUCUCAACCUUUGAAAGCUUUUAUCGGUUCUCAAAGGCUUGGACUUGGAGGUCGUGUCGGCUCUGCAAAGAAUAUCGACUCCUCUGAAACGUAUCAGUGCGAACCUUUACGGAUCGUCUUCAACGUGAUAAAUGUCUACGUUGUGGCUGAGAGGCGCUCCGUCGUAGGUUUGGCUUCUAACGGUCUCUUUGAUGAGACAUACACCUUUGACCUCUGGCCUCAAAUCAGGUAGGACUACCCGCUGAACUUAA
rnacentral:rRNA from 1 species